rnacentral:lncRNA from 1 species
UUGGAUCAAGACUAAUGGUAAGGAAGCGUGAACAAGUCAAACUACUGGUACCCUAGGUAUAGGUUAAGGAACCGGAUAACUUUAUGGGCAAGGGUAAAAUAAUCAUCCUUACUCUUCACAAGGGAAUCACUGAAGCGCAUUGAUGCAAAUAAUCAAGAAUUUCUCGCACUUGGACGAUCCCAACUAUGCUGUCCUGGCAUGUCACCACCAUAACAACUCAGCCUCCUCGAUCUUGAUCUGAUGAAACGUACACCAAAA